rnacentral:lncRNA from 1 species
AGACGGAGUCUCGCACUGUCGCCGGGCUGGAGUGCAAUGGCUCGAUCUCGGCUCACUGCAACUUCCACCUCCUGGGUUCACGUGAUUGAGUUAGAAUAAUUUUUAAGGAAAACCUGCCACUGCUGAGGAACUCAUGCUUCCCUCUAUCUGAUAAAGAGAAUUUGGAGAAGAGGCAGAGUCAAGAUGGCUGAAUAAGACUCUCCAGCGAUUGACUCCCCACAGAAACAUAAAUUUGAACAUGAUCUAUGCAUGAAAGUAACUUCGCAAGAGCCAAGGAACCAGAUCAGAGAUGACCAUAUCUGGUUUUAGCAUUACUAAGAAAAGAUCAACUGAAGAGGGUAGGAAAGACAGAGGUACAAUGCCUGAAUCACCUCUCCCCCAACUAUAAGCACAGCACAGAGAGAGACACAGCCCACUUGGGGUAAGGAGAGGGAAGUGAGUGCAGGACUUUUGACUUGUAGCUCAGCACUGGGUCUGCCGUGGUGAAACCCAACACCAGGCAGAACCCCAUGCCCCUUAACCCCAGACCAAGCUAGGCAGACAAGGACCCAUCCCGAUACUAUGUGGAAACCUGUGGCCUCAGUAUGACAGACUUGUGUUCUGGCAUCUACAGUAGCCUCAAGCCAUGAGUGAACUUCAGCAGCAGGAAGGCUACAGUGGUAUGGGCCUGAUUGGUGCCCCGGGGAUGUAGUAGUCCUGGUGGCAGGACUGGGACCCCAUUAUUCUUCUUCCAACCCUAGGCAGCACAGCUUGGAGAGUGCCUCCAUCUACUGGGGGAAAAAGAGGGAUACAAAAGCAGUACUUUGAUCUUGACUCAGUGACAAGUCUGCCAUGGUAAGACUCCACACUGGGCAAAAUCUGAUGGCCCACUGAUCCCAGGCUGGCACCCAAAGACCGUGCCUCUGAACUCAUUUCAGUGUCAGGCAGAGAGACAUGGCCUCAGUGGAAUAGACUCAGGGGUACAUCACUACUGUCUGUCUGCAGUGGACUUGAGCCACAAAUAAACCUCAGCAGCAGGCAGGCUAUAGUUCCAUGGGUCUUGGGCAUAUCCCUGUGCUGUGCUUGUCUUGGCAGCUAUGGUUUUCAGGUGUGAGCUAGCAUUACGGUGGCCGUCCUGGCCACAAUACUGCCUGCUCCACCCCUUCCCUCAACCCCAGGCAGCACAGUGUGGAGACACUGAUGCUUGAAAGAAUGAGAGGGGAACAGGUACACAAUGUUGCUUUGGAGCAUGCCAUGGUGAGGCCCAAGCACUGAGCAGAGUGACACAGUGCCUAACGUGUCCUGGCCCCAGUGGAAACUCACACACCCAGAGAGACACUCCAGUCUCUCCCCUAGUCAAUCUGGGCCAGAACACAAACCAACUGUGAAUUCACUGCAAACCUGGGCUUACGGUGCCAUCUAGUGCUGAAACAGUGAUAGUGGCCAAGGGCUCAAAGAACACAAUAAUCGCCCUGCUUAGAAUUUCUGGAAGAACAGGAACAAACCACCACCAGGCUUUGAAUGGGGAAUAAACAGCUAAUCCCUCAAUGUUCAGAUGUCAGGGCAGGCCAAAGGCAUGAAGAAUAUUCAGGGGUCGGGCACAGUGGCUCACGCCAACAACUGGGAGGCUAAGGUGGGUGGAUUACCUAAGGUCAGGAGUUUGAGACCAGUCUGUCUAACAUGGUAAAACCCUGUCUCUACUAAAAAAUAUAAAAAUUAGCCAGGAGUGGAAGUACAUGCCUGUAAUCUCAGCUACUCAGGAGGCUAAGGUUGGAGAACUGCUUGAACCUGAGAGGCAGAGGCUGCAGAGAGCCGAGAUCAUUCCACUGCACUCCAGCCUGGGCAACAGAGUGAGUGAGACUCUGUCUCAAAAAAAAAAAAUUUUAAGAAAGCAUUCAGGAACCAUAAUUUCAUGCAACAAACAAAAUAAGGCACCAGGAAACAACCCUAAAGUGAUGGAGAUGUGUGAUGUCUCAGAGAAUUCAAAAGAGCUGUUUUAAGGAAACUCAAUGAACUUCAAUAAAACACAGGGGAAGAAUCCAGGAAUUUAUCAGAGAAACAUGAGAGAUUAAACAAACUGAAAUCCUGGAGCUGAAAAAUACGAUGAACAAAAUGAAUGCAGUAGAGAAUAUCAACAGCAGAAUCUAUCAGAUACAAAAAUCUGAGCUUGAAGACAAGCUAUUUGAAAACACAUAGCUGGAGGAGAAACAAUUAAAAAAAGGGUAAAAGGGAAUGAAGAAGUUUACAGAACAAUGCAACAGUAUCAAAAGAGCAAAUAUUUGGGUUACUGGGCUUCAAGAGGGAAUUGAGAAUGACAAAUGGGAAGAAAGCUUAUUCAAAGAGAUAAUAACACAAAACUUCCCAAAACUAGAGAAAGAUACAAAUUAUCCAGGUACAGAAAGGUCAAAGGUUACCAAUCAGAUACAGCCCAAAUAAGUGUACCCCAAGAAAUACCAUAAUCAAAUUCUCAAAGAUCAAAGACAAAAAUAUUUUGAAAGCAACAAAAGCAGCAAAUAACAUAUAAGGAAGUCCCAAUCUGUCUAGCAAUAGACUUCUCAGCAGAAACCUUAUAAGUCAGGAUGAGUGAGAUGAUAUAUUCAAAUUGUUAAAGAAAAAAAAAGAUUGGGGGUGGGGGGGGGGGGGGUGGGCUGUCAACCAAGAAUACUGUACCCAGCACAGCUAUCCUUUAGAAAUAAAGCAGAGAUAAAGACUUUGCCAGACAAAUGAAAACUAAGAGAAUUUAUCAUCAUCAGAUAUGUCUUACAAGAAAUGUUAAAAAAAAAUAGGCCAGGAACAAUGGUUCACAUCUGUAAUCUCAGCCCUUUGGGUGGCCAAGGUGGAAGGACUGCUUGAGCUCAGGAGCUCAAGGCCUUGGGUGGCAUACCAAGACUUUGACUCUACUAAAAAUGAAAAUUAAAAAAUCAGCUGGGUGUGGUGGCGUGUGGCUGUAGUCCCAGAUACUUGGGAGGCUGGGGUGGGAGGAUCAUUCAAGUCCAUGAGAUCAAGACUGCAGUGAGCCAUGAUCGCACCACCGCCCUCUAGCCUGAAGGACAGAGUGAGACCCUGUCUCGAACAUACAAGCAAACAAAAAAUGCUAAAAACAGUUCUUUAAAUGAAGAAAGAGACUCUAAUGUGUAACAAGAAAACAUCUUAAAGGUAUAAAACUCACUAGUAAGUAUACUGGAAGAUGGAAUACUAUAAUACUAUAAAUGUGAUACAUAAAGCACUUGUAUCUUUAAUAUGAAGGCUAAAAGACAAAACUAUUAAAUAAUAACUAUUUUAAUUUGCCAAGAGAUGGGUAAUAUAAGAUGUAAAAUGGGACAUCAAAAAUUACAAAUGUGGGAGAAAAUGGAG